CGAAACACAAGCUGUUGGUCCAGUGAGACAACCUGUAGGGAGACCGAAGCGGGAACAGUAACAUAAUUUUGCUUUCAGAAGACCACCUUCUUAUACCCGUUUUUUACGAUAAUUAAGUUCUAUCUAUUGUUGAUAUGAUACGCUGGCACUAAGGGAGUAUUAGCGCCACCUUGGACAUGUUAGAAGACACUGCUGUGUCUCCUGUCCCAGCCAACAGACUAAUACAAGGUGACCCUCUGUGAAAGACGACACGUUCACGUGUUUUGCUUACCCAAUGGCCUCUUCACCAAAGGGUUGAUUGCACCACGUUUCCCACGGUGCUUCAGUAGGACAUUUAUGACCCGCGGUCUGGUCCAGUUUGAAAGCCAGACACACAGAAAACCAGAGCUGAUGAGACAACAGGUGGGUGGAGGUUUUAGGUAGCAAAUGGCCAGAGCAGUGUUUUUUUUUCAUUUCCUUUCUACAGAUUUGAAGCAUUACAUGUCAGUCAAUAAACCAGAUCUCUCCACAAAAAAACACUGCAAGGACUUCUGGGAAAGUCUUUAAGCCACGGUGGAUUUAUUCUGACCUCACCUGCCCCACACCUCUCCCAGAGGCUCUUGCAGCACCGAUUGUUAGGUUUACAGUGUUUUUGUCAUGGCAGCACGCGGCUGGAGCUGCGGUUACAGUUCAUGUGGCUCGUGUUGAGCCCCAAAGCUUUGGUAAGACGUGGCUUUGAGGCCAUUCUGUUUCCUGUCUGGAGAACAGUGUUGGUGUUAACGCCUUUCUUCGCUCAGUACCAAAUGAUGAGCCCUGUUUCCAGGUGACUGACUGGGGUGUGACUGUAGCAGGAAGAGGAGUAUUACUGAGCAACGGCUGCACACUUAGUCUCAUUCUACUCGUGAAUCUUGGUGCUCGGCUGCUUAGGGUCAGGUGCAGUGUUGAGUUCCCCCAGCUGAGGCCAAACCUGUCUCCAUCACCAAGUGUUGAAUAUUACAAAGUGACUUGCAGGUUUCUUUCACACCUUGUGCUUUAAUUUCCUCUCGCUGUUCAAUUCAGAGUGGAGUAAUUAAAAGAGUGUCUCCCAGCAUGAAGCAGUGCUAACAGAUGGUGUGACAAGGCAGUCAGCAUGUAGCACUUCACAUCAGGCUACAUUCCAUUACUCUCAUGGAUUGUCUGCUUAGUGUCUUGUUUGCAAAACUGGCCCAGAUGACAAGUGCAGAACUGGGUAAUAAUGUGUCGGAUCAGUUUUGAAAUAAUUUGUGUUUGGUUCUUGGCUCUGAUGAGUGUUGGUGUCAGGUCAGUGGGCCUCAGUGUAAGCCCAGGUGGACUCCAUCUUCCCUGCAACCCUGACUAUCUGAAAUCUGACCAUGCAGAUGCUGUGUUCACCAUUGUAUUCCAUUCUGCAGUAUUUAUUUGUGCCUUGAUUUAUUUUUUACUUCUAAAUUCAGAGAUUACACAUCUAAUUUUCUUUGAUAGUCACAGUUCUGUCCCUCUCAUAUUGAUCAUAUUACAUGAGUAGGAAUGUGAAAAGAAUUGAUAAGUUGAUAGUUUCCUUGACAUCAUAAUCCCCUGUGACUGCCUGUAGAUCCUGUUCAACAAAAGCUCUGCCCGUCUGCACUGCAAGGAAACUCAUACAAACUGUCCUCCAAAAGAAACAAACACAAGCACAUAUCCUUCUAUCAUCAAGUUCAAGCACAACUUGUUGAAGCCAACUGCACUCUGUCACUUGUUUUACAUGCUCCAAUCUGCAUGGCCCGGCCUACAAAUCCAUUUGUGGGCAAAAUAAUGUAUUUCCAUCUAGUUUCCACCUGCAUGAGGACACAGCGGCUUUGCUUUUGUGAGCAGCACUGCAGUCAGCUUCCAAAGCACCAUGUUGCUGAUUGGACAUGUAUUGCAUUACUUUCAUCACAUUUUCAUUGUAAGAAAAUGUUUUUUUUGUGUGUGUUCAAUGUUCAUAAUUAAACUGGUCUGAUGAAUUUAUAUGUACCGGCCACAGAUGGAUCAGCGUACAGUAUUGCCGAUAGAUAGAAAUGCCUGAGUAUUAGUAGGGGCCAAAUUAAACUUAGUGAUCAGUGUCUUUAUAUUCUGAGCCCACUAAAUGGCGCUCUUGGUUUUAAAAGAAAGGCCUAAGGCAUUGCAAUUCAUAAAUAAAGAAACUGGUUCACGAAGCUUCAUUUGGCCAUCACUACUGAGUAUAUUUACUUCAAAUCCUUCCGAAACAGUAUUGCUGUUGCAUAAUUUGUCCACCAGAUGGCACUGACAGGUUUAUUAAUGGACUGCAAAAAGUCUCGCUCAAUAUCUGGUCCCAAUUCUUUAAGAAUCUCUAUACAAAUUAUUUAUCAUGAGGUGUGCACAGUGGAAUUUAUGUGGCCUCCAUCUGCGAAUGGAAUCUCCUUUUACAAC